GGCACACAUAUGGUGCACAUGUACACAUGCAGGCAAAGCAUUCAUACACAUAAAAUCAAAUAAAACUUUAAGGUUAUCAUUUAAUUAAGAGCUGGAGACACGAAUCCAUGGGCAAGAACCCUGGCUGCUCUUCUAGAGAACCAGGGUUUGGUUCCCACACCCAUGAUGGCUCCAGUUCCAAGGAGCUAAUACUUUCUUCUGACCUUCAUGGGAAUAUGCACUCAGAGAGUAUACGUAUUUACACACACACACACAAAUUAAUUAAUUAAAAUUAAUUAAUUAAUCUUUAAAAAGUAAAGAGAUUUAAAGAGCCAUGAAAAAUAAAACCUAAUGAAAAGGACAGUAUGACUUUGUUUCCGCUCUCACAUUUGUACUUCACACUGCACAAUGAAAUAAUAAGGGAACAUCAGAAUAGGAGUAAAGUCAGCUGAACUACUGUUCCAAAGGUGGGCAGAGAGGGAACAGUAUUCAUCAUCAGGGCUGACCAGAGCCCCAGAAGUUGUAAGAAAUGAUCAGACCUCAUGUAAGGAGGCAAUGGGACCUUUGGAUGGACCUGGAUUUGACCUGGUUCUUAAAAGAAUGUAUCAUUUGCAGUCUUAUGAGUCUAAAUUCCAUGCAUUUCGACAGGGAACUUCUGCACGCACACCCCCAAAAAGUAAAUCUAGAUUGCUCUUUUGGACAGAAUUGCCCAAAAUUCAUUGUUAUAGUGUAAGAAACAUGACAUCUCUGACCUUCUGGCUCAGGGCACAGUCAGCCUGUUUCCCCUCAGUAUAUGUGAGAGGGAAGCUGAUGUAAGGGCCAGUGACGUCAUCUUCGGUGAUGUGUGCACAGGUGAGCACAUUAGACAAAAAAAGAAAUGGAUGCUCUGACUACUUCAGAGCAAACCGUAGCUCAUAAACCCUAUUCCUGACAGGAUCCUAAUGACAAUGGGUCUAUAGACUCUGAACUAGCUCUAAAUCAUUGCUUCCACAGAGAACUGGAGGUCAGGACAGGGGAAAUAACUUUCUCAGAGAGCAUCUCUAAGUGAGUAGCUGAGCCCUGACUGCUGACAAAAUACCUUUGUCUGCUUCUGCCAAAUCUCCAUGGUAAGUGAUUUUGCAUCUUGCCUUUGGUCCACCCUGGAGCAUUUUGGUGGCAUCUUUCUACUUUCAAAUGCAGACACCAGGGAGAUUACCCAGGACCACACAGCUGACCAGCAUCAGAGCAGGAAGGCCAUCUGACUCUAGUGUCAGUAACCUUUCCAGGAAGCCUGCUGUCCUCCCAGCAUUCUGUGUAUUGUAAGGCCAAGAAUCAGAAAGUCCCUGUCCAUCAGACUACACAACCAAUGCUCUGCCAGUUCUGUCCACAGAACAGCCGUGGUGUUGUGAUGCUCACCAGAGGGACAAAACAAAGACCUCAAGACAAGCAUUUCCUUCCAUUGACUCAAUAAACUUGAAGCAUAAAUGUCCUGAUUUGAUACAAUCUAUAACUAACCUCGUUCCUCAAGGAGUGUUCUGCCAAGAAACACAAACGGUAUAUAAGAAAAUACCUAUCCUUUGGGCUGUUUGGGUGCCACCUCCUCCAGGAAGCUUUCCAGAUCAUCUAUCAACCAGACUGGAGUAUAUGGCCUUCUUUAAUUCUUAAACCACUAGUACUUACCAUUAUUAAAAAGUGGAACUCUGCCCUGUAAAAAGCUGAUGUACUCUUUUGAGUGCCACCUCCCCUUUGUAGAGAGACAUAAUCACAUGGAUCCCCAGGAACUACCAUAUUAUCUGGUACAAAGAGAAAAGUCAGUGGAUAUUGUUCAAUGAAUGAAUGGAUGGAUAAUGCAAUAAAUAAGAACCAGUGGAGACACACCAAAGCCAUGGUGUGGAGACUCAGGCGAAGGUACUGCUGAUUCUGCUGCUGAGGUGAGGGACAGUAUGAGAGACUCUGGGAUCUAUCUUGAGAGAUUGAGUUAGAAGACUAUAGCUGUAACUUUGUGUUAGGGGACAUGGCCAGUCUGUGUAACUUCCUGGGUUUCACUCAGCAAACCACCAAAAUAAAAUAAGCAAAAGACAAGUUGGCAUUUCCCUCAAGACUACUGCAUAGAAGACUAUUCCAAGGUGAAGGGACAGCAUGAGCCAAACCACAGAGGUGCGAAAGCAUGUGGGUCACUGCCAGAGACAGCACUGCAGAUAGCAGCACUAAAAACACUGGAGACAACAGCACUGAAGACAGCAACUCCGCACAGUAGACAACAGCACUGUAGAUGACAGCGCUGUAGACUACAGUGCUAUAGAGGACAAUACUACACACACUGCAGACACUGCAGAAGACAUCACUGCAGACACUGCAGAAACUGCAGAAGACAGUAGUACUGCAGACACUGCAGAUGAGACAGCACUGUAGAGGACAGCACUACAGAAGACACCACUGCAGACACCGCAGAGGACAGCCUGGCAAGACUCCAGAGCAGUUCUUAGUGGGAGGAAGUGGGACAGGUGGGGCUGGAAAGAUCUCAAACAAGUUUCAAAAGACUUGGAACUGACACCGAGGAGUCUGAAGUAAGUCACUGAAGUCUGUAAGCUAACUAAUAACAUAACUAGAUGGCUAAACAGGAGAAGAGGAUUUGUUUCCUUUUCAGUAACUAAAAAGCCCAAUUUCCUCUAUUUUUAUAUCUCUUGUCCCUUCGUGAAAAUGGACAAACAAAAUCCAGCUGCAGUGCUCCUCCUUGCAAAACAAAUUCGGGUUUCUCCUCUUGCUUUCUGGCAGCCGGCUCAGAAGUGAAGGCAUCCGCCGUGCAGCUGGGAAAACAGGAGCUUGUUUGGCUCUGAGCAAUGCGGGGAGUGCUGGUCUGGGCAGUGAGUCAGCUCCUUCCUGAAAGUCUAGGUCAAGGGAGUCCAUACCACAAUCUUGUUUACUGGCUUUUGCUUCCACUGUCCGAGCAUUGAUUCUGAUUACUGCAAAGGUGUAUUCGGUCACUCUUGGCUUAAAAGCCUGUAAUUCCGUUGACAAGAAGAUGUGAUCAGAACAACAGUGACCCCAUUUUAAUCCUCCAGUUCAUUGGAGAGAGCUGGAUGAAGAGUGGAGCGUUGUUUUCUGGUGGCUUUUGUUCCUGCCUGACCACAGUCAUGUGUGGGAAUGACUCUGCAGAGCUGUUUGCUGGCCUGGCAGAUUUGGAGGGGAGCCGAUGAGUGACCUGUCUGAAUCAACUCCUCCAGCCCAGACACGUGGGGCUACAGCUAAUCAAUCAAGUCUGCUGAGGGCUGCUCCCUGCCAACCUCUGAGGACAACAGGAUGCCAGGGUGAAUAAGACAGUCUACCAGAGUCUAGGAACCGGGAUAAAAACUCAGGCAAUGGAGACUUCAGCUCUUAACUAUUAUUGUUGUUGUUGUUAUUAUUAUAAAGGAAUACAAAUUUUAAUUGUUA